GUGGAUUAGAUACCCUGGUAGUCCACGCUGUAAACGAUGGGCACUAGGUGUCCGGGGUAUUGACCCCCUGGGUGCCGCAGCUAACGCAUUAAGUGCCCCGCCUGGGGAGUACGGUCGCAAGAUUAAAACUCAAAGGAAUUGACGGGGGCCCGCACAAGCGGUGGAGCAUGUGGUUCAAUUCGACGCAACGCGAAGAACCUUACCUGGGCUAGACAACAGUGGACCGUCCUAGAAAUAGGAUUUUCCCUUCGGGGACCGCUGGUUCAGGUGCUGCACGGCCGUCGCCAACU
rnacentral:rRNA from 1 species